CACAAUUUCCCAGCACGAUCUCCAUGUACAGCUACAUCUUUCGGGCAGCUCGUGUUAAUAUCUGUCGUCAGAGGCUUUCUCCGCCAAUCCCGCGCCGCAGGGGCGGGGCCUCCGGCGCUCGGCAAUAAAACUUUUUGAUGUUCGCGUUGCUAAUUGCCGAGCUCCUCUUUUAGGAUUGGCUGCCCCUAAUAUAAUUAAAAACAAGAGAGGAAAAAAAAAAAACUUUUAUCAUGGAGGCAGAGGUUAUUGCAAGUGUUUAGCAGAUGCAGUACGGCAAAAUCUUCUUUUUAAAUAAACUCAUUAAAACAAAAUAUUGGAGCAUUUCAACCCAGGUACGGUAUGUCGCCGAGAAUUUUGAUGGAAAAAAAAAUAGCGGCUCGGUCAGUUCAGUUAUUGCUUUACAAAGUGCGUUGUGUGGAUCUAGCAGAGGAAAACAUAAAAACAGCUUCAGGAGGCACUUGCCGAUUAACCAAUGGUGAUGUACAUAUAGCAGGAACACUUUAGCGUAUUGUUCUAGCAGAACGCUUUCAGGCAGAGAGAAGUGCAGUUAUUAGGGAUAGGCAGUGGACAUGAGUUGCAAGUACGAAAAGAUUGGAUCUGACUUUAUAGCAAUUGACUUCUAAAAUAAGCAAACAAUGGGGUCAGGGAGAUGGUUUUCAAAGAAUGAGUUGCUUUUAAAUAAGAACAAUAAAAACAAAUCAAACGAUUCUCUUCCAGCUUGCUGAGUUAAUGUGCAUACCAGGACAUGUAUUCAUCCGAACCAGUUAUAUGCCUGAAAUCAGUUGCAUGCUUGUUUAACUAGCCUGAUUGGAAUAAUGCAAUAAAUUAGGCUUCUGCAUCCACCGGUUAAGUCUCUUCGAAUUGGAUGAGCAAGAAGAGCAAGAGACGAGAAAAGUCUCUUAGUAAUAUAGUGGAACUGAGUACAUGGCAUUUUGUCAUGCACAGCUCAGCGGAUGAUCUGUGCCAGCAGGAGGAAUCCUACGGAGGGCGCAGUUCAGCAGCAGCGUCUUCACCUUCCCUGUGUGCACAGGAGCUAAAGAACCAUUUUACUAGAUACUUUAAGAAUAUCCUUUUGAUCUGCGUCCAGGACCCGGCCUUUUGUCUCCCAGCAUCUCAAUCAAGCUGCAUAGCUGAGCGACGGUGUCAACCCCCCAUUCGCGAUCAGAUCGGGGAGGGAGAGGCUUCUUUCCUGAGCACAGGGGAGCCCAACCCGCGAAGCAGCUCGCCCAUUCGCUUCACAUUUGAACGCAGCCCCUUUAAAGAUCUCGAUCGGGGUGGCUUAUACUGUACAUGCAUGUCCUUGCAGCAAAGGACUUUACUUCCUCCACUGCUGUAAUCAGUAUCUGUAUUGCUCUGGUGAAGGAAACCCCCUUCUUUGCAAAUGUAACCGUCACCGGGUGAAACCCCCUCACCCCCCCACACUUUCCCCCUUCUUUUGGUCUUGCAAGCGUGUGAUAAGCUCCUACAGGUCCGGAAAGGGUUAACUGCUGCUCCUCCACCUCCUUCACUCUCCUGGAGCCCCCUGAAUGCCACCGCUUUCCUCUAGAGGUCUCAUUAGGGAAACCCUAACUGCUAUUUUCAACAUUUCCUCAAUCAAGCGUCUUUAAAUAUAGCUCCACAAACAAAUUGGCGGCAAAAAGCGUAGAUCUUGUCACGAGUGAGACCAAUCCAAUAUUUCACCCUUGUUUGCUUUGUAAUUACUGGAUGGCUUGUGGCUACCUCCUUGCCCCACUGGGGCAAACUCCCCCCGCCCGCUCUUUUUCACCCUUUAAAGUGUGGGAUGAACCAGCCUGUUGUGCUACUAAACCAGUGAUCUCAGAAAUAAAACCCCCUUCACAAAUGCAGCCUGCGGGCCAUUCACCGCAGUUCCUGGCUUGCUAGCUAGGCUUGUGAUUUUUCCAAGCCACACUCUCUGCUCCGACAGCACUUUUGUUGCAGGUCACACACUCGCAAGCUGUGCCCUUGCAGGUAUUUGUAAGUGGUUAGUCUUUGCUUUACUGGAAUGAAUCUCUCUGUUAAACUGCUACUUUGAUUUGUUAUAUUUUCCACAGCGCUUAUUCUUGUUUGACUGUUGUACAAAGCUGCUUUAAAUCUGCUGCAGGGAGAAUAAAACUUCAAGCUGCUUGAAUGGAUUCCUAUAGACUUGUGGGCUAGCCCUGGCCCACGUUAGUUCCUGCCUAGCAAUCCCUCUGCGUAAAUCAGUCCUGGAGUAAGGUGAUGUCUGCAGUCAGGGGCAACAAUCAACUAGCUAAUAUCAACAAAAACAGUAGUUAACUCAAAUUAUGUUCUAAGCCUUGCAUUUAACAGAGAAAAGGCAGGCUGCGCACUAUUAACAAAGCUGUUAUAUUUACUUUGCUGUGAACUGAGAGAACUUUUAUGAUAAAGGCAAAUAAUAGAACACAAAAGGGAACUAUGACCAUAAAUCUCUUUUUAUGGAUUCUCUCUCUAGCAGAAAAACACAGUAAUUCAACAAUUUUAUGAUUCAGAUAUUUUGCAGGUACAUUUGAAGUUAUUUAUAUAGGAAAGUAGGAAUAUCGCACACACACACACACACACACACUUUCUUGAUUUAUAGGGGCCUGAUUCGGCUCCUACUGAAUUCAGCAACAAAAACUCUCAUUAACAACCAUGGGAGCAGGGUUGAUUCCUAUCAGUAGAUAGCGCGCAUAUGAUCACUGUGGGUACACAUUCUAAGAUUAGUUACAGUGUCAUUUGUCUCAUAUGAAGCAUCUUUUUAAAAUUUACACAUUUACAUGGAAUUAUAAUUCUGGAAUAAUUCUAUAAUCUAAUCUAAAAUGGACAAACUGAAUUGCCUCCUCUCUUUUUGCACCAGAAUCACUAAUGUUUGAGAUUGUUAAGCCACCCAAUGCAAUAAAAAGAUAUU